UUAAGCGACUAAGCGUACACGGUGGAUGCCCUGGCAGUCAGAGGCGAUGAAGGACGUGCUAAUCUGCGAUAAGCGUCGGUAAGGUGAUAUGAACCGUUAUAACCGGCGAUUUCCGAAUGGGGAAACCCAGUGUGUUUCGACACACUAUCAUUAACUGAAUCCAUAGGUUAAUGAGGCGAACCGGGGGAACUGAAACAUCUAAGUACCCCGAGGAAAAGAAAUCAACCGAGAUUCCCCCAGUAGCGGCGAGCGAACGGGGAGGAGCCCAGAGCCUGAAUCAGUGUGUGUGUUAGUGGAAGCGUCUGGAAAGGCG
rnacentral:rRNA from 1 species